CUACGGGAUGCAGCAGUGGGGGAUAUUGCACAAUGGGCGAAAGCCUGAUGCAGCAACGCCGCGUGAAGGAAGACGGUUUUCGGAUUGUAAACUUCUAUCAGCUGGGAAGAAAAUGACGGUACCAGACUAAGAAGCCCCGGCUAACUAUGUGCCAGCAGCCGCGGUAAUACAUAGGGGGCAAGCGUUAUCCGGAAUUACUGGGUGUAAAGGGUACGUAGGCGGCUGAUCAAGUCAGAUGUGAAAGCCCGGAGCUCAACUCCGGGAUUGCAUUUGAAACUGGUCGGCUAGAGUGCAGGAGAGGUAAGUGGAAUUCCUAGUGUAGCGGUGAAAUGCGUAGAUAUUAGGAAGAACACCAGUGGCGAAGGCGGCUUACUGGACUGUAACUGACGCUGAGGUACGAAAGCGUGGGGAGCGAACAGGAUUAGAUACCCCGGUAGUC
rnacentral:rRNA from 1 species